UAACGGCGAGUGAAGCGGCAACAGCUCAAAUUUGAAAUCUGGCUUCGGCCCGAGUUGUAAUUUGCAGAGGAAGCUUUGGGCGCGGCACCAACUGAGUCCCCUGGAACGGGGCGCCAUAGAGGGUGAGAGCCCCGUAUAGUUGGACGCCUAGCCUGUGUAAAGCUCCUUCGACGAGUCGAGUAGUUUGGGAAUGCUGCUCAAAAUGGGAGGUAAAUUUCUUCUAAAGCUAAAUACCGGCCAGAGACCGAUAGCGCACAAGUAGAGUGAUCGAAAGAUGAAAAGCACUUUGAAAAGAGGGUUAAAUAGCACGUGAAAUUGUUGAAAGGGAAGCGCUUGUGACCAGACUUGCGCCCGGCUGAUCAUCCGGUGUUCUCACCGGUGCACUCUGCCGGGCUCAGGCCAGCAUCGGUUCUCGCGGGGGGAUAAAGGCCCUGGGAACGUAGCUCCUCCGGGAGUGUUAUAGCCCAGGGCGUCAUGCCCCCGCGGGGACCGAGGUUCGCGCAUCUGCAAGGAUGCUGGCGUAAUGGUCAUCAGCGA
rnacentral:rRNA from 1 species